GACGUAGGGCGCGAGCGUUGUCCGGAUUUAUUGGGCGUAAAGCGCGUGUAGGCGGUCCGGUAAGUCCGCUGUGAAAGUCGGGGGCUCAACCCUCGAAUGCCGGUGGAUACUGUCGGGCUAGAGUGCGGAAGAGGCGAGUGGAAUUCCUGGUGUAGCGGUGAAAUGCGCAGAUAUCAGGAGGAACACCAAUUGCGAAGGCAGCUCGCUGGGACGUUACUGACGCUGAGACGCGAAAGCGUGGGGAGCAAACAGG
rnacentral:rRNA from 1 species